rnacentral:rRNA from 1 species
GACGAACGCUGGCGGCGUGCUUAACACAUGCAAGUCGAACGGAAAGGCCCUGCUUUUGUGGGGUGCUCGAGUGGCGAACGGGUGUGUAACACGUGAGUAACCUGCCCUUGACUUUGGGAUAACUUCAGGAAACUGGGGCUAAUACCGGAUAGGUGCUCCUGCUUCAUGGUGGGGGUUGGAAAGUUUCGGCGGUUGGGGAUGGACUCGCGGCUUAUCAGCUUGUUGGUGGGGUAGUGGCUUACCAAGGCUUUGACGGGUAGCCGGCCUGAGAGGGUGACAGGGCACAUUGGGACUGAGAUACGGCCCAGACAGCUACGGGAGGCAGCAGUGGGGAAUAUUGCACAAUGGGCGGAAGCCUGAUGCAGCAACGCGGCGUGCGGGAUGACGGCCUUCGGGUUGUAAACCGCUUUCGCCUGUGACGAAGCGUGAGUGACGGUAAUGGGUAAAGAAGCACCGGCUAACUACGUG